rnacentral:tRNA from 1 species
GGAGUUGUAGCUCAGUGGUAGAGCGCUUGUCUCGUAAGUGUGAGGCACUGCGUUUAAUUCCCAGCAUCACAA